rnacentral:rRNA from 1 species
CGCCUCCUGCAAAACAACAUAUAGGAGGUCUUACCUGCCCAGUGACAAGUUAAACGGCCGCGGUAUUUUGACCGUGCGAAGGUAGCGCAAUCACUUGUCUUUUAAAUGAAGACCUGUAUGAAUGGUAGAACGAGGGCUUAACUGUCUCCCCUUUCAAGUCAAUGAAAUUGAUCUGCCCGUGCAGAAGCGGACAUAAAAAUACAAGACGAGAAGACCCUUUGGAGCUUAAGAUACAAAAUCAACUAUGUCAAGAACUAUAAAUAAGUCAAACUAAAUAGCACAUGAUUCUAAUCUUCGGUUGGGGCGACCGCGGGAGAAAACCAAGCUCCCAUGAGGACUGGGGUAAACCCUUAAAACUAAGAAAGACAUUUCCAAGUCACAGAACAUCUGACCAUAAAGAUCCGGACACACCGAUCAACGAACCAAGUUACCCUAGGGAUAACAGCGCAAUCCCCUUCCAGAGUCCAUAUCGACAAGGGGGUUUACGACCUCGAUGUUGGAUCAGGACAUCCUAAUGGUGCAGCCGCUAUUAAGGGUUCGUUUGUUCAACGAUUAAAGUCCU